GACGAACGCUGGCGGCGUGCUUAACACAUGCAAGUCGAACGGUAAGGCCCUUCGGGUACACGAGUGGCGAACGGGUGAGUAACACGUGGUGAUCUGCCCUGCACUUCGGGAUAAGCCUGGGAAACUGGGUCUAAUACCGGAUAGGACCAUGGACUUCACGGUUUGUGGUGGAAAGCUUUUGCGGUGUGGGAUGGGGCCCCGCGGCCUAUCAGCUUGUUGGUGGGGUAAUGGCCUACCAAAGGCGACGACGGGUAGCCGGCCUGAGAGGGGUGUCCGGCCACACUGGGACUGAGAUACGGCCCAGACUCCUACGGGAGGCAGCAGUGGGGAAUAUUGCACAAUGGGCGCAAGUCUGAUGCAGCGACGCCGCGUGAGGGAUG
rnacentral:rRNA from 1 species